ensembl:lncRNA AABR07026565.1
GUAAACCUGGUGCUUAUAUGGUCUUCCAGGAGAAAAGCAAGCUUCCAUAAGAAACAGACUCUCUGGCCUCAGGACUGAAGAAGCAGCAGGAGGUGUGCAUGCCAAGACUCCUUUGCUUGCAAAACAUGCAGGAUUAUAGAGAGCAGUUUUGACAUCACGGAACACUGAAAUUUAUAAAUGAGGUGAUUUGGUUGCCUGACAUCUACUGGAGACUAACCAUGUGUCCCAGAAAGACGAUGAACUUGAGGGAGGAGGAGUUGAGAUGGCAAGAGGGUGAAAGAGUUCCUGUUGACUUUGGGCAGUAACACUGAUAUUCCGGCCUCUCGACAGUGUAACUUGAGAAAUGCUGCUGAGCAGGGUGAGGAAGCCCAUGGAGCCUGUCUGGAGUGCCUCCAGUCCCCAUGUUCCCUUGGGCUGCAGCGGAAAUAUUCUAGGCAUGAGGUACCUGUGGACUCGAAUUCCACACUAGUGACAGUGAGCGACACAUAUGGAGCUGGGGGAAGAUAUCUCAGCAAUCAAGCAGUUGACGCCUCUGUAGUUCUCAGGACCUAAGUCCGGUGAACCACAACUCAGUUGUGGGGGAACCCAACUCUUCCUGUAGGCACCUGAACUCACGCCUGUGUGACUGCACACGUGCACAGCACCAAAGAAA